UACCAGCACCCCGAGUGGUCGGGACGUUUAUUGAGCCUAAAGCAUCCGUAGCCGGUUCUGCAAGUCUUCCGUUAAAUCCACCUGCUUAACAGAUGGGCCGCGGAAGAUACUAUAGAGCUAGGAGGCGGGAGAGGCAAGCGGUACUCGAUGGGUAGGGGUAAAAUCCGUUGAUCCAUUGAAGACCACCAGUGGCGAAGGCGGCUUGCCAGAACGCGCUCGACGGUGAGGGAUGAAAGCUGGGGGAGCAAACCGG
rnacentral:rRNA from 1 species